rfam:Rattus norvegicus chromosome 5, whole genome shotgun sequence.
GGGGAUUUGGCUCAGUGGUAGAGCGCUUGCCUAGGAGGCAUAAGGCCCUGGGUUCGGUCCCCAGCUCCG